rnacentral:rRNA from 1 species
AUACGUAGGUGGCAAGCGUUGUCCGGAUUUAUUGGGCGUAAAGCGAGCGCAGGCGGUUUCUUAAGUCUGAUGUGAAAGCCCCCGGCUCAACCGGGGAGGGUCAUUGGAAACUGGGAGACUUGAGUGCCGAAGAGGAGAGUGGAAUUCCAUGUGUAGCGGUGAAAUGCGUAGAUAUAUGGAGGAACACCAGGGGCGAAGGCGACUCUCUGGUCUGUAACUGACGCUGAGGCUCGAAAGCGUGGGGAGCAAACAGGAUUAGACACCCUGGUAGUCCACGCCGUAAACGAUGAGUGCUAAGUGUUGGAGGGUUUCCGCCCUUCAGUGCCGCAGCUAACGCAUUAAGCACUCCGCCUGGGGAGUACGACCGCAAGGUUGAAACUCAAAGGAAUUGGCGGGG